AGCAGCCGCGGUAAUUCCAGCUCCAAUAGCGUAUAUUAAAGUUGUUGCAGUUAAAAAGCUCGUAGUUGAAUUUCGGGAUCAGUUGAUCGGUCGUGCCUCGGUACGUACUGGUCAAAUUGAUUCCUACCUUCUGACGAACCACGAUGUCAUUAAUUUGGUGUCGCGGGAAAUCAGGACUGUUACUUUGAAAAAAUUAGAGUGUUUAAAGCAGGCUCGCGCUUGAAUACAUUAGCAUGGAAUAAUGAAAUAGGACGUUUGAUUCUAUUUUGUUGGUUUCUAGGAUCGACGUAAUGAUUAAUAGGGAUAGUUGGGGGCAUUAGUAUUCAAUUGUCAGAGGUGAAAUUCUUGGAUUUAUUGAAGACUAACUACUGCGAAAGCAUUUGCCAAGGAUGUUUUCAUUAAUCAAGAACGAAAGUUAGGGGAUCGAAGACGAUCAGAUACCGUCGUAGUCUUAACCAUAAACUAUGCCGACUAGGGAUCGGAUGAUGUUAAUUUUUAAUGUA
rnacentral:rRNA from 1 species